rnacentral:rRNA from 1 species
AGCGAACGCUGGCGGCAGGCCUAACACAUGCAAGUCGAACGGACCCUUCGGGGUUAGUGGCGGACGGGUGAGUAACACGUGGGAACGUGCCCUUUGGUUCGGAAUAGCUCCUGGACACGGGUGGUAAUGCCGAAUGUGCCCUUCGGGGGAAAGAUUUAUCGCCAUUGGAGCGGCCCGCGUCUGAUUAGCUAGUUGGUAGUGUAACGGACUACCAAGGCGACGAUCAGUAGCUGGUCUGAGAGGAUGAUCAGCCACAUUGGGACUGAGACACGGCCCAAACUCCUACGGGAGGCAGCAGUGGGGAAUCUUGCGCAAUGGGCGAAAGCCUGACGCAGCCAUGCCGCGUGAAUGAUGAAGGUCUUAGGAUUGUAAAAUUCUUUCACCGGGGACGAUAAUGACGGUACCCGGAGAAGAAGCCCCGGCUAACUUCGUGCCAGCCGCCGCCGUAAGAC